AGUGAGAGUGAUGAGUUGCACGAUUAAAAGUUGGGGUGUUUGUUGCAGUGGCAACAACGCACCAAUCCGAUCCCACCUGAGGACACGCUGUGUGCACAGGGGCCAUCUGACUCACU
ensembl:snoRNA